rnacentral:lncRNA from 1 species
GUUUACUCAGGAACUGGGUUACCAUAAUUUACUAGGGAUUUAUAAAGCACUCAGACUGAUUACUGUAAUACGAUAUUACAGAAGACUAGAACUAUCAGAAGCUGAGUUGGUCAGUGCUAUAAAAUGUUAACGAGUAAUAAGGAACUUAGUAGUUACUUAUCAAAUAUAAGUCCACUAAUACGUUUUGCUGAAAGGCAAUAAGGCACCAGCUCCAUUAUUUAUUUCAUUCCAUUUAUUUCCCUCCAUUUGUGUCUCUCCCCCAGGGACUGUCACUUCUGUUGAUUGAGAGGAUUAAUAUAUUGAACUGUUUAUUUUUCCC